rnacentral:rRNA from 1 species
GAUGAACGCUGGCGGCGUGCCUAAUACAUGCAAGUCGAGCGAACAGACGAGGAGCUUGCUCCUCUGACGUUAGCGGCGGACGGGUGAGUAACACGUGGAUAACCUACCUAUAAGACUGGGAUAACUUCGGGAAACCGGAGCUACUACCGGAUAAUAUAUUGAACCGCAUGGUUCAAUAGUGAAAGACGGUUUUGCUGUCACUUAUAGAUGGAUCCGCGCCGCAUUAGCUAGUUGGUAAGGUAACGGCUUACCAAGGCAACGAUGCGUAGCCGCCCUGAGAGGGUGCACGGACACACUGGAACGGAGACACGGUCCAGACUCCUAAGGGAGGAAGCAGUAGGGAAUCUUCCGCAAUGGGCGAAAGCCUGACGGAGCAACGCCGCGUGAGUGAUGAAGGUCUUCGGAUCGUAAAACUCUGUUAUUAGGGAAGAACAAAUGUGUAAGUAACUAUGCACGUCUUGACGGUACCUAAUCAGAAAGCCACGGCUAACUACGUG